CGGGGGCCUGGCGUCACAUGCAGAGCUGCUCCGAGCCGCCGAAGCCGAAGAUGGAGAAGGGACUCUGUCCUACUCACCGCUGCACCCUGUCAGCAUCACAGUGCCUGACAUGUAGACGGGCCUCUGCAGUGUUUGGAACAAAUGAACAAACCAGCUCAUGAAUGGAGCUUACCUGGACGUCAAUCUACUCAUCUCCUGGUACUGAAAUACAAAGUUGUGUGGAGGAUUUGGAAAAUUAUAUCAUAAAACUCCAGCCUACAGUUCCUAACAACCUGAUUGGAGGAGACAAGACUAAUCAAGGCACAUUUCACACUGAACACAGAAGCUAAGAAAUGAAAAUAACUAAAAAUGUA